GAAGUCAUACUCUGAGAGAUCUCACUGGGCUCAGGACAACAAAGUGCCUUUUGCAUGCAGUGUGAGCCAGACUGUAAGGUUAACAUCUGACCUGUGCUGGGUAUUACAUGAGUGUUGUUGCCCUCAAAGGAGCCUUUGGGAGGCACCAGCUAUCCUUUGUGCUCAGUGCACCAAGCUUUGGGGUGAUGCAGAUGUAUCUGACCAGCCCUGCUGACAAUAGGAGAGGCAUGUUCCUUGAAUCACAUAGUUGACCUGCCAGGCAAAGACUCCCCUGACUUCCAUGGGAAAUCAAUGAGAGGUCUGUACACAAACCUCUCUGCCAGGACUCAACUGCAGGAUGCAGACUUUUGGAGAUGCACUGUGAAAUGUUUUCAGAAGGAAGAAGAGGAGAAUUCUACAUGUCUGUUAAAAAAAAUUGCUAAAAAGGAGAAUGACUGCAAUAGGAGGAAAGUUCGAUCCAUUCACUCAGAAACAUAUCAGUAUAUCCUUGCCAUCAUCAGUAAUGGAGAUAACAGGCUUUGUACUACAAGUUAAAUUG